rnacentral:tRNA from 1 species
CGCGUAGCUCAGCUGGAUAGAGCACUGGUCUUCGGAACCAGGUGUCGGGGGUUCGAAUCCCUCCGCG